UACCGGGUUGAGUUGGGCGGUGUAGAAUAAAGCCCACGUAUGGCUGACUCGCGCGGGGCUGGCGUGCGCUGCGCUGGGCGGUCAAGGCGAGGAGCAAACAGAUUAGUACCACAUCGGCUAGCACGAUGAUUUCCGACCAGCAUAUAAACUCCCUCGCUACCUUCUAUGCUGUCCCUAGGUUAGCAUGGCCCCUGCGCAAGGAUGACACGCAUACAUUGAGAAAUGGUCCAAUUUUUUGGGGAUUUUACGCUGUGGUCCCUUUUUUUUUCUCGCAGAUAUACCCCUCGCCUCCUUUCGCGCUGCUGUGUUCUGUCUUCUCUUCUAUUACAAACGGAUCCUUGCUCUCUUCCGCACAGGCUCUUUGAUUUUUUCUUUCCUCAGCCAUGCCCCUGGAGCCCCUUCUGUCUUUUCUGCCUGUACAAAACGAUCCUUACUCUCUUGCGUGGAGGUCCUUUUCCUUCCUCAGCCAUGCAUGCCCCUGGUGCCUUCUUUUUUUGCUCUUCCGUCUUUUCUGCUCGUACAAAUUCCUAGUGAACGCAAUUUUCAGCACUCAGUGUAGAACUUUUUAAUCAACAAUACAUCAUAUUGGAUUAUUAUUUUGGCAGCCAUCAUAUCUGAUACGGAGUAUAUUUUUACAGCCAUCAUAUUGGAUCUAUUCAUCUAUUCCAUAUACAUGGCUCAUGUGUUUUCUAAGUAGAUAUUGUGUCCAAGAUACUCCCACUGGGAUUGGCCUUAGUAUGCAAUUUAAAUCCUUAGUUCCUUUUUGUUUUUCAACUUGUAGAUCCAACAAAGAUUUGCAAUUUUGUGAUACAGUAGAUUCAAGUUUCUUCAAAAAAAUAAAAAUUGUAAGCCUGUUGGGCUGCACACGGCUGCACCAGAUCAGCCAGGGCGUCCGAAGCCAAAAUUUCCCCAUCCUUGGCCUGCCACCCCCUUGCCGGCGCAAGCUCGCCGAUCCGGUGCGCCAGAGGCCAGCCUGGGGCAUGCUCCCAGCAGAGAAGGCAUCAGCCCUCCUCCGGGCCCCGUUCGCCGCGGAGGAGAUCGCCGCACCCGCGAACCUGCACGUGAUGGCGCAGUGCACGGGGGACCCCUGCCCGCGGAGGAGCCUUGCGUCCCACAUGGUCUGGCUCGCCGGACGCUAGACGGUCCCAGCCCAUACCUUCACGCCGCCGUCCAUGGCGCCGCCGCAGUAUGUGCCAGAGAAACAACACUCAUUCAGUUACAUUCAUUUGGUGAUCGAUGCACUCUGGUAGUUGACAACACUCAUUCAGUUACAAAUGUACUUAACAGUUACCAACACCACGACCUGCUAUGUAUUGUCGCUUGAUGCAAGGACAGAUUUAGAGAAUUAUAAUAUAUGCCAGCUCAACAUUGGAUACAUUGUAUGCUACACUUACAAAGAAUGGUAGACCUUGGAAAUGCAUUGCUCCCUAUUUUGGCUGCAA